AUAGAACAUUCCAGAGCAUACAAAACAAAAUCAUUUUUAAAGAUCCCCUCCCCNCUUUUUGGAAUCUCAAUAAGUAGGACAAGCUUUUACGCAAGGGGUUUGCCAUCAGAACGCAGGUGUUGUGAAAGCCACCGCUAAUUUAAAGCAAAAAUGGGAAAGGAAAAAUCUCACAUCAACAUUGUCUCCGGCAAGUCCACCACAACUGGCCACCUGAUCUACAAAUGUGGUGGAAUCGACAAUCGAACAAUCGAAAAGUUUGAGAAGGAGGCUGCUGAGAUGGGAAAGGGCUCCUUCAAGUACGCCUGGGGCUUAGACAAACUGAAAGCUGAGUGUGAGCGUGGUAUCACUAUUGACAUCUCCCUGUGGAAAUUCAAGACCAGCAAAAACUAUGUGACCAUCAUUGAUGCCCCAGGACCCAGAGACUUCAUCAAAAACAUGAUUAUAGGCACAUCCCAGGCUGACUGUGCUGUCCUGAUUGUUGCUGCUGGUGUUGGUGAAUUUGAAGGUGGUAUCUCCAAGAACAGGCAGACCGGAGAGCAUGCUCUUCUGGCUUACACCCUGGGUGUGAAACAGCUGAUUGUUGGUGUCAACAAAAUGGAUUCUACCGAGCCAUCAUACAGUCAGAAGAGAUAUGAGGAGAUUGUUAAGGAAGUCAGCACCUACAUUAAGAAAAUUGGCUACAACCCUGACACAGUAGCAUUUGUGCCAAUUUCUGGUUGGAAUGGUGACAACAUGCUGGAGCAAAGUGCUAAUAUGCCUUUGUUCAAGGGAUGGAAAGUCACCUGCAAAGAUGGCAGUGCCAGUGGCACCAUGCUGCUGGAAGCUUUGGAUUGUAUCCUACCACCAACUCGUCCAACUGACAAGCCUCUGCAACUGCCCCUCCAGGAUGUCUAUAAAAUUGGAGGCAUUGGCACUGUCCCCGUGGGCUGAGUGGAGACUGGUGUUCUCAAACCUGGCAUGGUGGUUACCUUUGCUCCGUCAAUAUAACAACUAAAGUCAAGUCUGUUGAAAUGCACCAUGAAGCUUUGAGUGAAGCUCUUCCUGGGGACAAUGUGGUCUUCAAUGUAAAGAACGUGUCUGUCAAAGAUGUUAGACAAGGCAAUGUUGCUAGUGACAGAAAAAGUGAUUCACCAAUGGAAGCAGCUGGCUUCACUGCUCAGGUGAUUAUCCUGAACCAUCCAGGCCAAAUCAGUGCUGGCUAUGCUCCUGUUCUGGAUUGUCACACAGCCCACAUAGCAUGCAAGUUU